UCCUGAGGGCUUUCCAACACAUGCAGACGCUCCGAGGUCGGAGGAGGAGGGAAGGAGGUCAGGCUGGGAGGGUGGCUGAUGAAGGAAGGAACGGCUGGAUGUAGAAGCUGGAGACAAAACAAGCAAAGCUUCUGCAUGGAGCUUGUUUGCGCUCGUCCUGCAGAACCUCAGAGAAUCAGAGCUGAGACAACAGUGAGGAAGUGUAAACAGCAUCGUUCAGCGCCUGCAGCUUCACUGAGGAUGGAAAACACUUGAGGAGGGCCGGCUGUUAUCAGCUGCAGCAGCAGCAGCUCUGAGCUGCAUCUCUGUAAUUAGAGUUAAUUUGUGAGCUGCAGUCGUGGUGGAUGCUGGUCGUUAAUGGUUACCUGUUGUUAUGGUUACCGUCUCCCUCUGAAACCAACCUGAAGCACCACAGAUGAUGGGAUUCCUCUCAGCCUCCCAAACAUACACAAAUUUCCUGCUGACGAUUGGGAUGUUGGCCUUUCACCUCCUGCAGGUUUUGAUGACAUUUACCCUGAUUAGUUUCUCAUUUUAAACUGAAUAAACAUUUUAUUUCAUUGCAUAAAACUCUCUGAAAAACAAAGUUUAGGUUCAUGUUCUUUUUUUCCCCAGAGUGGAGUUUAUGUUGUCAGUUUUCUAUUAGAAGCUGCAAAUUUUACAUCUUUUAUUCCAAAAUAAAUCUCAAUAAAAGAACCCAGGAACAACAAAAAACCUUAAAGUAUUGACUACAUGUCAAACAAUGGGUACAUUUUAAACGCUGAAUUUGCAACAUUAAAAUGUAAACUUUGUUUCGGCAAUUUAAUUAAUAAUAACAGGUACACAAAAUACCGUUAGUUUACUGCAGAUCCACCAAAAUCUGGACAAACUUCUAGAAAACUGUAAAACAGCUGUAAUACUGAGUUCCUUCAAAUAAAAGCUAAAUACCCUCAUGUUUAGAUUUGCUUUUGAACUGGAACAUCAAUCAAAAUAUUGGAUGCGUAUUGAUAAUUUUGUUGAUGUCAAUUGACUGAUUUCUCAGUUGGUGACUGCUGUUUUUAUGACUGCUUAUUUUUGUGUUUUUCUGAUGUAGAGCAUGUCAGACUUUCCUGUGAAACAUGCUUCACAAAUAAAUUUGAUUGAUUAAUGCUGGAGUUCUAAUUAAAACUGGGAUGUUCAAACUUUUUGUCAUGUCGGCCAAAAUCAUCGAGUCAAAAGGACUUGAGGGCCAAAAAAUGUUUUUAUUUUUAUUUUACAAGUGUCAGCUGCUGCUAACUGCUAUUAAAUGUCUGUUGUUUAGGGUUAUUUAUUGCAUUUUAUUUAGGGCAUAAGCUGCUGGCUGGUGUUAACCACCAACUUCACU